rnacentral:rRNA from 1 species
CCUACGGGUGGCAGCAGUGAGGAAUAUUGGUCAAUGGCCGGAAGGCUGAACCAGCCAUGCCGCGUGAAGGUCAGUGCCCUAUGGGCGUUAAAACCCUUUUGUGCGGGAGCAAUAAUGGUCACGUGUGGCCAGACGAGAGUACCGUACGAAUAAGCAUCGGCUCACUCCGUGCCAGCAGCCGCGGUAAUACGGGGGGUGCAAGCGUUAUCCGGAUUUAUUGGGUUUAAAGGGUGCGUAGGCUGUGAGGUAAGUCAGCGGCGAAAUGCCCCCGCUCAACGGGGUGAAGUGCCAUUGAUACUGCCUUGCUGGAGUGCGGAUGCGGUGGGAGGAAUGUGUGGUGUAGCGGUGAAAUGCGUAGAUAUCACGCAGAACACCGAUUGCGAAGGCAGCUCACGGGUCCGCGAUUGACGCUGAUGCACGAAAGCGUGGGUAUCAAACAGGAUUAGAUACCCUUGUAGUC